GAUGAACGCUAGCUACAGGCUUAACACAUGCAAGUCGAGGGGUAGCAGAGUAGCAAUACCGCUGACGACCGGCGCACGGGUGAGUAACACGUAUCCAACCUUCCCAUAACUCGGGGAUAGCCUUUCGAAAGAAAGAUUAAUACCCGAUAGUACUUUUUCAAGGCAUCUUGAAACAGUUAAAGAGUUAUUGGUUAUGGAUGGGGAUGCGUUCCAUUAGAUAGUUGGUGAGGUAACGGCUCACCAAGUCUUCGAUGGAUAGGGGUUCUGAGAGGAAGGUCCCCCACAUUGGUACUGAGACGCGGACCAAACUCCUACGGGAGGCAGCAGUGAGGAAUAUUGGUCAAUGGGCGAGAGCCUGAACCAGCCAAGUAGCGUGAAGGAUGAAGGUCCUAUGGAUUGUAAACUUCUUUUAUAGUAGAAUAAAGUGAGCCACGUGUGGUUUUUUGUAUGUAUACUAUGAAUAAGGAUCGGCUAACUCCGUGCCAGCAGCCGCAGUAA
rnacentral:rRNA from 1 species